rnacentral:pre_miRNA from 1 species
CAGCACCCUCCGGGUAAGUGGGAAGAUGGUGGACUGCAGAACAUGUGUGAUUCUCAUAUCAUAUGUCUGCUGACCAUCACCUUUAAGGGUCUCCUUGCCUGUG